rnacentral:misc_RNA from 1 species
GAUGAAGAACGUAGCGAAAUGCGAUAAGUAAUGUGAAUUGCAGAAUUCAGUGAAUCAUCGAAUCUUUGAACGCAUCUUGCGCUCCUUGGUAUUCUGAGGAGCAUGCCUGUUUGAGUGUCAUUAAAUUCUCAACUACACUGACUUUGAAUUGGUGUGGCUUGGAUUUGGGGGGAAAAUUGUUGUGGGCUUUUUGUAUAGUCUGCUCCCCUGAAAUUGAUUAGCGGUACCUUUGUGGAACUGUCUACAGGUGUGAUAAUUAUCUACAUCUUAGACAUCUGCUGGAAUGCUGCUUUCUAAACCUUACUUGUAUUGACAAUCUUGACCUCAAAUCAGGUAGGACUACCCGCUGAACCUAAGCAUAUCAAUAAGCGGAGGA